UACGUAGGAGGCGAGCGUUGUCCGGAGUUACUGGGCGUAAAGGGCCUGUAGGCGGUUUCUUAAGUUUGGAGUGACAAUUCCCGGCUCAACUGGGAAGGGCCUUCGAAAACUGGGGAACUUGAGGGCUUCAGAGGGAGGCGGAACUCCGGGUGGAGCGGUGAAAUGCGUAGAGAUCCGGAAGAACACCAACGGCGAAGGCAGCCUCCUGGGAAGCACCUGACGCUGAGGGGCGAAAGCUAGGGGAG
rnacentral:rRNA from 1 species